CACACACACACACACACACACACACACACACACACACACACUAGAGAACAACAAUUUCACAGUCUGGCUAUGGUUGUACCUGUGCAUACUGCUCUGAUAGUCCACUCUCCCUUUUCAUUGCAUGUAGUUACUGCUGAUUCCUGAUUGUUAGAAAUCCCGUACUUCUCUCCACAAAUGACUUUCAGUGUCUCACCAGGU